rnacentral:snoRNA from 1 species
UAGGUUUGGUGAUAAAUUCCGUGUUUCUGAAACACUUGAUUUUGAGGAAUUUCAUGCACA